UACGAGGGGUGCAAGCGUUGCUCGGAAUUAUUGGGCGUAAAGGGUUGGUAGGUGGUCUUGUUUGUCUAAGGUGAAAUCCCAUGGCUUAACUGUGGAAGUGCCUUAGAAACGGCAAGACUAGAGUCCUAGAGGGGUUUGUGGAAUUCCCGGUGUAGAGGUGAAAUUCGUAGAUAUCGGGAGGAACACCAGUGGCGAAGGCGGCGAUCUGGGAACAUACUGACGCUGAGGUGCGAAAGCGUGGGGAGCAAACAGG
rnacentral:rRNA from 1 species